rnacentral:misc_RNA from 1 species
UUUCCGUAGGUGAACCUGCGGAAGGAUCAUUAAGGAGAAUAUGCCCUUCGGGGUAGAUCUCCCACCCUUUGUUUAUAUUACCUUUGUUGCUUUGGCAGGCCCGUCUUCGGACCACCGGCUUCGGCUGGUCAGUGCUUGCCAGAGGACCCAAAACUCUUAUUAUUAAUGUCGUCUGAGUACUAUAUAAUAGUUAAAGCUUUCAACAACGGAUCUCUUGGUUCUG